UCGACGGACACGAGUAGCGAGAUGCACUCUGGGAACUCCGUGACCCGCGGCAACCGGCGGUCCUACGCCGACGAGGCCUCCACCGAGGAGCAGCUGAGGAGCUUCCAGGAGUCGUGGGCCGAGAGCCAGGGAGUUUUCCAGAACCUGGGAUUCGGUGUCACGGAGCAGAGGACGUCUCGGGUUGUGACGCACCGCCAGGACACCGUGAUGACGGUUUCACCGGGACAUGGCUUUAAUUUGGCCCAGAUGCCAUCACCUCGCUCGGCCAUGACCUGACAGACAGUCGCCCCCCCCCCACCAAAGUUAAAGCAAGAAGCAGCAUCAUGCUCGGCCGCGGACUCGAUUGGCUGCUCUCCUCCAUCGCCCCGUCAUGUGGCCGCUGAUUGGCCGGCUCCUCUCCUCCCACCUCCUGGAGCGCACGGCGCAGAGCAGCGGAGGCUCAGCCGCGCGGUGCGGAGCGGAGAGGAAGGAGAAGAGAGGACGGAGCGUGGUGUCCGGGCAGCAAGGUGCGUCGUCGCGGCCAGGGAGACAGACGCCGAAAUGAAGCCAAGAUAUCCUGGAUACAAACGCUGCCAUCUUCCCCAUUUGGAGCCGGAGUCUCUGCAGUAGCGAUCGGGGAUGGAGCCGCGGUAGUGAGGUCCUGCUGAUGCACCAAUC